CCUACGGGUGGCUGCAGUGGGGAAUAUUGCACAAUGGGGGAAACCCUGAUGCAGCGACGCCGCGUGAGUGAAGAAGUAUUUCGGUAUGUAAAGCUCUAUCAGCAGGGAAGAAAAUGACGGUACCUGAGUAAGAAGCCCCGGCUAACUACGUGCCAGCAGCCGCGGUAAUGCGUAGGGGGCAAGCGUUAUCCGGAUUUACUGGGUGUAACGGGUGCGCAGGCGGUGUGUUAAGUCAGCGGUCAAAGCCCGGGGCUCAACCCCGGCCCGCCGUUGAAACUGGCAGUCUCGCGUUGGAGAGCAGUCUGCGGAAUGCGCGGUGUAGCGGUGAAAUGCAUAGAUAUCGCGCAGAACUCCGAUUGCGAAGGCAGCAUGCCGGCUCCACACUGACGCUGAGGCACGAACGCGUGGGUAUCGAACAGGAUUAGAUACCCGGGUAGUC
rnacentral:rRNA from 1 species